ACUUGAAUUGAAGAGUUUGAUCAUGGCUCAGAUUGAACGCUGGCGGCAGGCUUAACACAUGCAAGUCGAACGGUAGCAGGGGAAAGCUUGCUUUCUUGCUGACGAGUGGCGGACGGGUGAGUAAUGCUUGGGAAUCUGGCUUAUGGAGGGGGAUAACGACGGGAAACUGUCGCUAAUACCGCGUAUUAUCGGAAGAUGAAAGUGCGGGACUGAGAGGCCGCAUGCCAU
rnacentral:rRNA from 1 species